GGGAGUUUACAGGGGAGACCUAGACCGUGGCAGAAGAACCAACAGACGGGUCCAUGGUGUCCCACUAGCCAGAGCCAGGCAGGCGGCCAGCAGGAUGAGGGGCAGCAGUAACCGUAGGUGGGGUCUUCUCAUGGCCAUGGCUGUGUCUGUUGCUGGAUCGACCUGAAGUAAGGAGACAGUGCAAGGUACAGAAAAGGACAAACAGCUCGAAC